rnacentral:rRNA from 1 species
AUUGAACGCUGGCGGCAGGCUUAACACAUGCAAGUCGAGCGGAGAGAGGUAGCUUGCUACUGAUCUUAGCGGCGGACGGGUGAGUAAUGCCUAGGAAUCUGCCUAUUAGUGGGGGACAACAUUUCGAAAGGAAUGCUAAUACCGCAUACGUCCUACGGGAGAAAGCAGGGGAUCUUCGGACCUUGCGCUAAUAGAUGAGCCUAAGUCGGAUUAGCUAGUUGGUGGGGUAAAGGCCUACCAAGGCGACGAUCUGUAGCGGGUCUGAGAGGAUGAUCCGCCACACUGGGACUGAGACACGGCCCAGACUCCUACGGGAGGCAGCAGUGGGGAAUAUUGGACAAUGGGCGCAAGCCUGAUCCAGCCAUGCCGCGUGUGUGAAGAAGGCCUUAUGGUUGUAAAGCACUUUAAGCGAGGAGGAGGCUACUUUAGAUAAUACCUAGAGAUAGUGGACGUUACUCGCAGAAUAAGCACCGGCUAACUCUGUGCCAGCAGCCGCCGUAA